CGUAAACCUGGGUGCCUGACUAGAACCAGGCGUCUGACGUAGAAACUGGGCGCCUGACGUACAUCUGGGCACCUAACGUAAACCUGAGCACCUGAUGUAAAACGGUGCCUGACAUAGAAACUGGGUGUUUGACAUACCUGGGCGUCUGAGGUAAAACUGGGUGCCUGAUGUAAACCUGGGGGCCUGACGUAAAACCCGGGUACCUGUCGUAGAACCUGGAUAUCUGAGUAAACCUGGGCGCCUGAAGCAAAGCCGGGCACCGUAUGUAAAACCAUGACACGUAGUGUGUUGCUAGGUACCUGACAUGAACCUGGAACCUGACAGGAGACUGGGGUAAUUGAUGUAAACCUCGGGGCACCAGACAUAAAAGCUGACAUUGUACCUGAAACUGGGCACCUGACAUAAUAAUGGGGCACGAAAUAUACAGCUGGGUGACCUGGUGUAAAACCCAGCACCUAUAUCAAAGAACGCACCUGAUGUAAAACUGAGUACCAAACUGACACCCAGGAACUUAGGGCCUGAUGUGGGAAAAGUCCCUCCUGGGAGAUUCCGGCCCUGGAAAGAGGGCACAGAGACGCCGCCUUCGGGUCUCCCUCCGAGAGAGCCCCAGCCGGCUCUGGCUCCCGAGUGUGUGACAUCAGACGCCCGCCGCUGAGCCGACGCUUCAGGACCAGCAGAGCCUCUGCCGCACAGGCUGGGCGUCCCUGGAGGAGGCUUCCACGCUGGGCACUGGCGGACCCUCAGAAGACAAACCUGUGAGUGAAACAACUGCAUCAGCCACUGCUAAGAUCUCAUCUACAAAACAGAAUCCGUGAUGCUUCAUGCUGAUAUCUCAUCUCUAUACAUGCACAAGUUUUUAUCCAUGUGUCCUUGGUCCCUAUUCUUAUUCAAGAAAGGAGCGCUGUGAGCCUUCGAUUUUUCCUACAGAAAUAAGGAAAUGUGGCACAUUUAUUAUCAACACUUCAUAAGAUGCCUUCACCCAAAUUAAUUUGACAGUAAAUGAUUUUUAAUUACAUAAUGUGAUUACAAGGUUAUGGUUUUAAUCUUCUUUCUUCACCCAAUAAAGCAAAGGUAUGUUUUCACAUACUGCAGAUCAAUUUUCCAUGAAUUUGUUUCUUUAAAAUUUUCAUUUUUCCUUUGUCAACUGUUUUGUUUCCC